CGGCCUUGACAUACUAAGAGCUUUCCAGAGAUGGAUUGGUGCCUUCGGGAACUUAGAUACAGGUGCUGCAUGGCUGUCGUCAGCUCGUGUCGUGAGGUGUUGGGUUAAGUCCCGCAACGAGCGCAACCCUUUUCCUUAUUUGCCAGCGGGUCAUGCCGGGAACUUUAAGGAUACUGCCAGUGACAAACUGGAGGAAGGCGGGGACGACGUCAAGUCAUCAUGGCCCUUACGGCCAGGGCUACACACGUGCUACAAUGGUCGGUACAAAGGGUUGCUACCUCGCGAGAGGAUGCUAAUCUCAAAAAGCCGAUCGUAGUCCGGAUCGCAGUCUGCAACUCGACUGCGUGAAGUCGGAAUCGCUAGUAAUCGCGGAUCAGAAUGCCGCGGUGAAUACGUUCCCGGGCCUUGUACACACCGCCCGUCACACCAUGGGAGUUUGUUGCACCAGAAGUAGGUAGUCUAACCGCAAGGAGGACGCUUACCACGGUGUGGCCGAUGACUGGGGUGAAGUCGUAACAAGGUAGGCGUAGAUGA
rnacentral:rRNA from 1 species